rnacentral:rRNA from 1 species
AUUGAACGCUGGCGGCAUGCUUUACACAUGCAAGUCGAGCGGCAGCGCGGGGGCAACCCUGGCGGCGAGCGGCGGACGGGUGAGUAAUGCAUCGGAACGUAUCCCGUAGUGGGGGACAACCCAGCGAAAGCUGGGCUAAUACCGCAUAUGCUCUACGGAGGAAAGUGGGGGACCCGCAAGGGCCUCACGCUAUGGGAGCGGCCGAUGUCCGAUUAGCUAGUUGGUGGGGUAAAGGCCUACCAAGGCGACGAUCGGUAGCUGGUCUGAGAGGAUGAUCAGCCACACUGGGACUGAGACACGGCCCAGACUCCUACGGGAGGCAGCAGUGGGGAAUAUUGGACAAUGGGGGGAACCCUGAUCCAGCCAUGCCGCGUGAGGGAAGAAGGUCCUCUGGAUUGUAAACCUCUUUUGGCAGGAAACAAACCUGCGCUAUACGCGCAGCUGAGGGUACCUGCAGAAUAAGCACCGGCUAACUCCGUGCCAGCAGCCG